rnacentral:lncRNA from 1 species
AAGAGGGAACGUAAUGCGGCUGUAAGGAAGAGGAGAAGCCCUUGAGAGAAGAGUUUAAUUGGCCACAGAUCUGAUAAGAGAAGUGGGGAGGUUGUUAAUAGUGGUUAUAAAAAGCAAGGUAGGUGAUGAGAAGUACAUUUUUUUCCUUUUUUUUUUUUUUUUUUUUUAGGGCCACACCUGCAGUGUAUGAGUUCCCAAGCUAAGGACUGAAUUGGAGCUGCGGCUGCCAGCCUACAGCAGCCACAGGCACACCAGGUCAUCUUCGACCUACACCAUAGCUCAUGGCAACACCGGAUCCUUAACCCACUGAGUGAGGCCAGGGAUUGAACCUGCAUCCUCACAGAUACUCCUUGGUUCUUAACCUGCUGAGCCACAACAGGAACUCCAAAGCACAUUUUUUAAAGACUAAGAGGGCAUCUCAUCCUGUCAAACUUUUCCCUUCGCAUUUUCAUGGCCUCUCCGGGAAGUGUGAGGGGAGUGGCUCUGAUGACAAGACGAAGGCACAAGAACUGGGAAAAGGUGAGUAAAUAAUUCAAGCUUUCAGUAAAAGGAUAAUUGCAAGAAGCUGAUUGGUUCAGUUGUUUUAAAAGAAUCUGAUUGAGCCUUAAAGACAACCAUUAGGACCACAAAGAUGGAGAAGACCCAAACACUGGAAGAAGGAAGCACUUGUGUGGGAUGCGUUGCUGAGGAGAGUCAUUAGCACACCUGCUAAAGGAGUCCCUGUGCUAUCGGAGUGCAGAAUCAUAAUAGUUUAAUACUUGUGAAGACCAUGUUCUUUCAUUUCUUUUGUUCAUUUAACUUGAUCCUGGUACCAGUAACCCAAACCUCGCUUGUGCCCCCAUGACCAGACUUCCAAGUUCUACCCCCUAUUUUAGGAAGAGGCCUCUGGCUCUACAUUUUCUUGUCUAUUGUCUAUUCCUCUGAGCAUUGAGCUUCUCCCUUGGUCCUCCCCUCAGACAGACCCCUGGUCUCAUGUCUGGCUCCUCCCUUGCUUCUGAAUCCCCCCAACUGCCUGCCAGCCUCUUCUGAGGAGAAAUGUGGCAUGCACAGACUUUAGCACUGAAGGUUAAAAAAAAAUAAUCAGGGAGUUCCCGUCAUGGCUCAGUGCUUAACAAAUCCCACUAGGAAUCGUGAGGUUGCAGGUUCGAUCCCUGACCUGGCUCAGUGGGUUAAGGAUCCGG